GGAAGUGUGCCGAGCGUUCUAAAUCGCUGGUUUAAGAAACCAGUCUCCUUGGAGGGGCGAGUUCAAAUCUCGCCUCUGCCA
rnacentral:tRNA from 1 species